ACAAAACUUAGGUCUAAAAACAAUAUAUAUAGACCCUAAAAACGUCCAGGGACUAAUAAUGCACAUAGGGAAGUCUUCUGGGCAAAUUUGAGCUUCUGUAAACUCGAAAGCGUCUAGGGUUUUUGCUGGGCCGAAACUGGUGUCGAUCGACACAAAGAGUGAUUCGAUCGACACUCCUCGCUGAUUUCUGAACCAAAAUCGUCCUUAGCUUCCUUUUCCUUAGCUUUUGCUCCAAAAUGUCUCCUUAUCUCCAUUGUUGUCCCAUUACAU
rnacentral:sRNA from 1 species